UGCAUAUGAUGUUUCUCACGAUGGUCUUCCAAGCUUCAAUGGUGAAGAGGCUUUGACGAUAAUGCCGAAUGGCUUUGCUGAUGCUAAUCA